rnacentral:lncRNA from 1 species
GGAAAAUCACCUAGUAACCAAUUAUAAAAAGAAAAAGAAAAUAUUUUGGGAAAGGUAGGAUUUAAUGGCUAAGGACAGAAUAGAUAUCUUACACAUCGUUACAACAUUAAAGGUAUCCAUUAUUUUCUGUAUUUGCUGUAUACAGAAGUUUUUUUUUUUUUUUGGCGUAAAUUUGGCUGUAUACAGAAGUUGAUAGGUUGCUUGUUGCAUUAGCUCUCCGUUAUUGUAGUUUUGCUGGUUCUUGUUUGAUGUAUUGACGCAGAAUUAAGCCCGUCACUCAUUUUUUUAUGUGAAACUGGUGAUGUUGAAUGUACAUAUCUCGUGAUAGUGGCUGGCUGAUUCUGAUAGUAAGCCAAAUUAAAGGUGAAAACUGAGAAAGUAAAAGUAAAGACACCUCCUCAACUACUGUUUUUGUCGUAGGAUUUUUAUGAUCUUCGAACAAAAGAUCAUGUCCAUAUACUCCCAGUCUCCCAUACACAACCAUUCUAUUGCUGUUUGUUUUUUCAUGUAAGGCGCGCUACGAGACGUUCUCGUUUUUCUCACGUUGAAAACUCUGUUAAUUACCAUAUAGUCCCAUACACAAUCAUACUUGAAAGAAAGUGUUACUUUCAAGAAUCUUUUGUGAAAAAAGUAUUUUUGGAAAAAAUAUGUUGGUGAUGUGAUUUGUUGUUUUGUUUGUAAUGCUAAAAUGGUAUUUACCCGGUUUAUGAAAGCGAUUAGAUUUAUUAUUGUCCUUUAGCGGAGGAUCUAUCUACAGGGUUCUACCUUAGACCACCACUAUCCCUGUUUCUUAACUGGGUUUUUAAAGAAAACUAAAUUUUAACCCGUACACCCGUGCGGUUAACAUUUCAUUUAUAAAUAUAAAAUUUUAUAUUAUUUUAUACAUAAUAAUUUAUGAUAAUAUAUUACUGUCAUUUUAAAAAUAACUAAAUAGAUGAUAUAUAGUUCUAAAUAUUAAAAUUUAUCAUAUGUUAACAAUUUUAUUU